rnacentral:lncRNA from 1 species
GAUUCCACCUACAGCAAAGCUGGAUGCUAUGGUUGGCAGAGGCAAACCCUUUGCCUGCACUUCAGGCCAAAGCCGGGAUGUGGCCUAGAUGGUUCCUAAGGUCCCUGACAAUCCUGAGAUCUUGCAUCUUGUCUAUUUCAGGUCAAAGGUGCCUACAUGUUCCUUCUAGCUUUGUUUCCCUGAUGUUCCUUGCCACCUGCUACUCCUCUCUGAGCUACUUUUCCAGGUUCCACAGGGAGAGGUUCAGCUGUCCGUGGUAGACAUGAGGGUAGAGAAUGAGGUGGUUGGGUUCCACUUACCUUUCUAUCAUCUUGCAGUAUGGAUGUCUCUUGACUGGUACCAUGUAGACUUUUGAGGGCACACAGGAGUCUGCAGAGAGAUACUGGGGACAUUGAGUAGCAGCGGUGGGGUUGGGAGGCAGAAAUGAGGACAGGAACAUUUACCUUGUGUUUCUCUCAGCUUCUCAGAUGACCAAGAUGGUGCUGCAGAUGGUGCUGAGGAUGGAGAACCCACCAAGCCCCGCUAGGAGCCACCUAGACUGGAUGUAGAGCAUGGCUAAAACCUUUGAAGAGGAAUUUAUUAUAUCCUACAAACCUGGGAGGCAGAGGUUGCAGUGAGCCAAGAUUGGGCCAUCGCACUCCAGCCUGGGCAAUAAGAAUGAAACUCUGUCUCAAAAAAACAAAAGUUGGCUAGGGCUGGGCGUGGUGGCUCACACCUGUAAUCCCAGCACUUUGGGAGGCUAAAGCAGGUGGAUCACCUGAGGUCAGAAGUACGAGACCAUCCUGGCUAAUAUGGUGAAACCCCAUCUCUACUAAAAAUAUGAAAAAAGAAAAAAAA